rnacentral:rRNA from 1 species
AGAAUCAACGCUGGCGGCGUGCCUAACACAUGCAAGUCGCACGAGAAAGGGGAGCAAUCCCUGAGUAAAGUGGCGCACGGGUGAGUAACACGUGAAUGAUCUACCUCCGAGUGGGGAAUAACUGAGAGAAAUCUUAGCUAAUACCGCAUAAUACCCACGGGUCAAAGCAGCAAUGCGCUUGGAGAGGAGUUCGCGGCCGAUUAGCUAGUUGGCGGGGUAAUGGCCCACCAAGGCGAUGAUCGGUAUCCGGCCUGAGAGGGCGCACGGACACACUGGAACUGAAACACGGUCCAGACUCCUACGGGAGGCAGCAGUGGGGAAUUUUGCGCAAUGGGGGAAACCCUGACGCAGCAACGCCGCGUGGAGGAUGAAGCCCCUUGGGGUGUAAACUCCUUUCGAUCGGGAAGAUAAUGACGGUACCGAUAUAAGAAGCCCGGCUAACUUCGUGCCAGCAGCCGC